rnacentral:lncRNA from 1 species
AGGCCGUAAACUCCCCUAUGGAGCAUUCUAGGGCCUUAAACUACUUCAUGUAUUAUUCCAACAAAGCUAGGAGUGUUCUAGGAUCAAGAUAACACUUUAAAACACCCAAAACCACCAUGUGAGGAGUUCACGGCCAUAAACCCAUGAGUUUACGGCCGUAAACUCCAAAGGGUGGGGUUUGUUGGGUGGUGAACUCUUAUGCAAGGCCAUUUGAUGUUUCAAACCCUUUUGCCUUGUCCCGUAGCAACUUAGAUGCAACCAUUAGGACCUUUAACACUUAUGAAAAGUGUUUACAUGUUCCUAAGUGUAUUAACUUAUUUAUUAAGUUAUUAUUUGGCUAAUUAGUUAUAUAUAUGCUUAUUAUAUGAUAACUAGGCUCGUGCGUGUAAACAAGUCUCCGUUUGCCACCUAGCACGGUAUCCGACACUACAAUUCGUACAACUCACCACAAGUGAGUUCAUACCCCUUGAAUCAACCUUUGAAAUGAUUUUAAAUGUUUUAAAUACUUUAUGGGGGGGGAAUACAAGUCAAAUACUUAUAGUUAUUGCUUCAAUCACAUGUGAUUGCAUUUAAUCACAUGUGAUUAAUAACUAGGAAAACAACGAUUUUUACCACUGUUCAAACUGUUUAUCAAACUGCUUUACUUUGAAAUGUUUUACAAACUCUUUUACUAUCCAAACUUAUUUACAGACUGUGAUUCAAACAAAUGCUUCUUAUACUUAAACUGUUUUAUUAACUUAUGCCUUCUAAUUGUUUUAAAGAUUGACAUCAAGUCGAUCUUUUCUUGAAAUAAUAUUUAUGCUUCAAAUGUUUUAUGAAAACUUAUUUUAUGCUUUUAUAUAUUCAAUUGCAUGCCCAUAUAUGUAUAGAUGUAUAAAUAAUGUUUAAAGGGCUUAGGAAGGCCAUCCGCCCUAUUUCCUUUUUCUCGAUUUGGAUGUGGUCUGGUGGGAUUUCGGGUGACCAUCCGAAGGUCGUUUCCAUAUUACUUAUAUAUCAUAUAUACAUGUAUAGACAUAAAAGUACUUCCAUAUUCAUACUUAUCAGUACAUCAAUAGUUAGUUACCAUCGGGGUAACACAGGAACAUAUACAGCUAUACUAGAAACAAGUACAUAUACAGCUAUACUAGAAACAAGUACAUAUACAGCUAUACUAGAAACAAGUACAUAUACAACUAUACUAGAAACAAGUACAUAUACAGCUAUACUAGAAACAAGUACAUAUACAGCUAUACU